CAGUGGGUGCUGGAGGGUGCUUUCCUGGCCGUUCCAAGCUUUUCAGGUACCAAGGGAAAAUGGCUAGCAGUGAGUUCUGUAGCUUUUCCUGCUCUGCAGGCCCUCUGGCUUAGCCAGCUGGAUCACACUGAAUUAGUCAAGUACUUCAUUAUCUCCCUUCUCUGCACAUUUUGCUCCAGAGCUACAAAGACUACCAAAAUCCUCCACACCUGAAAAGGCACCAGGAGAUGACUGUGAAGUGUGUAUGUCACUUUGGCAAGUCCCUUCGAACCCAGGGGUCCCCAGACCACCUCUGCCCAGGCAGGACAGCCACCCGCUCCCAUCGCCUGCAGGUGAGGCCCGGCUGCCUCCCCCCGCACUCACGAGGAUUAACGAACAGCAAGAAAGCAAAUUGCUACAGUUAAAGGAAGAAAACAGCAGGACUAACACGUUUCAGUCGGGGUACUACGCUGAGACUCAGCAAUCUUUAUACUCUUAGAGAGCAGCAGUUCUUUAAGAGCUUUACACCCAAUAAAAUUUAAACUUUUA